UACGUAGGGUGCGAGCGUUGUCCGGAAUUAUUGGGCGUAAAGAGCUCGUAGGCGGUUUGUUGCGUCUAUCGUGAAAACCUGCAGCUUAACUGUGGGCUUGCGGUGGAUACGGGCAGACUUGAGUUCGGUAGGGGAGACUGGAAUUCCUGGUGUAGCGGUGAAAUGCGCAGAUAUCGAGAGGAACACCAGUGGCGAAGGCGAGUCUCUGGACGAUUCCUGACGCUGAGGCACGAAAGCCAGGGGAGCAAACGGG
rnacentral:rRNA from 1 species